CAGAGGUUCCAUUCUCUGUCUCAAUCUCCAUCUUUUCACAUGUAUGGCGUGUUACUACUACAAAGUUUUACUUUUAUAUGUCUGUUCAUUUGCUGCAUCGUCAUUGGUUAUUCUUGUCAUUCCGGUGUGAGAAUGAAGAGACCGAAUUGUUAACAAGGACUAUAGUGAGACAUUCUUAGAUAUUCCAAAUGAUAACGCAUGAUAAUGAUAAACAAAGAUGAUCUAGUGAUAGUGGGGGAGCAUUAUCAUAUCUUAGAACUAGAAAAUUAAUUGUUGUGGAAGCUUGUACGCGGAAAAGGCCAAAGCUAGAGAAAGCGCAUGCAAGGGGAGUUGGGGGAAAGGAAUCUUACUGUCCUGUUGAGACUCUUUUGAGAUAGUUGUAUUUGUACGGGACCUUAAAGCACACACGCAGCUUGGGUUGGGUUGAGAUUCUGCUAAUUAUUAAUUAGAGCUGCUCUAAAUCUCUUUAGCUUCCGGGUGUAAUGGAAAUGGAAACUUCAAUUUAGGUUUUUUUUGAAAAAAAAAUGAAAAUUUUCUUUAAACUUUUGACCUCAAGAGAAGCAUCUGAUUGUUCUAAGUCCUUUACUCUGUAAAGUAGAGAAGCUGAAGUAUGGAACUAAAUAACCUAUGAUUGAUCAAUCACAAAAAAGAAUUAAAGAAAGUUUUUUUUUUUUUAAUCUUUUUUAAACGCAAAAUUUAGCAUAUAUGUGAACGAAAAAAACAACAAAUGUGAAUGGCCCUCUAUGGCCCAUUUAGCAGUUGAUGGAGCACAGCCUAGUAAGAUAAGGGUAAAUGGGCUGGCCCUCAUUAGGGGAGAGGAGCACAAGCUACAAUUGGGCCCUCACUUAGACCGAAGAGUGCGGCCCAAUUGGUCAAUUUGGGCCUGGGCCAUUAACACCCUCGCUUUGGGCUACAAACAACUCUCUCUCUCUCUCUCUCUCUCUCUCUCUCACGCGCCAUUGGCGGGGUCUUGGAGCUCUUCGCGGUGAGGCGCGCCAUUGGCGGGGUCUUGUAGCUCUUCGCGUUGAGGCGCGCCAUUGGCGGGGUCUUGGAGCUCUUCGCGGUGAGGCGCGCCAUUGGCGGGGUCUUGUAGCUCUUCGCGUUGAGGCGCGCCAUUGGCGGGGUCUUGGAGCUCUUCGCGGUGAGGCGCGCCAUUGGCGGGCUCUUCGCCGUGAGGCGCCCAUGGCGUCUUUCUCAAGCGGCCCCGGGGCGAUUUCUCCCGUAACCAAUCCAUGGCCACCAACGCCUCUCGAUUUGACUCGUCCCGAUCUCCUCGACGACGUCCAUUUGGUCCAAAUCCUAAACGAUGGCGAAACCCUAAUUACCCUCAGGGAUCCAUUCACCCUUGUACUUGAUUUGGAGGCCAGGAAUGUCAUCUUCUUGCAAUAGAAUGGUGAUAGAGCUUCCAUCUGAAUGUGGACUCACGCCGAGAACGUCAUCUGGCCUAGAGCAUGGGUUUGAAAGCCAAAGAUCUAAACAUCGAGGGGGCCGAAUGCAGCAUUUAUAUUUCAGGAAAGCAAAGUGCAAACGGAGGUGAUUAUUGCAGAAAGCAAGAGCAAAAACUAGCUCAAGAGGCACUUUUAUCUCAGAGGAAGUAAUAGUUAAGAAAAUAGAUGAUUAGAGAGAUAUGUGGAUGCCUGGAAGAAGCCCCAUUCUUUGCAGGCGAGAUCG